UACGGAGGGGCGAGCGUUAUUCGGAAUUAUUGGGCGUAAAGGGCGCGUAGGCGGCUGUACAAGUCAAAGGUGAAAUCCCUCGGCUCAACUGAAGAACUGCCUUUGAAACUGUACGGCUUGAGGCCGGGAGGGGUAGCGGAAUUCCCAGUGUAGCGGUGAAAUGCGUAGAUAUUGGGAGGAACACCAGUGGCGAAGGCGGCUACCUGGACCGGUUCUGACGCUGAGGCGCGAAAGCGUGGGUAGCAAACAGG
rnacentral:rRNA from 1 species